rnacentral:rRNA from 1 species
UACGGGGGGGGCAAGCGUUGUUCGGAAUUACUGGGCGUAAAGGGCUCGUAGGCGGCCAACUAAGUCAGACGUGAAAUCCCUCGGCUUAACCGGGGAACUGCGUCUGAUACUGGAUGGCUUGAGAUUGGGAGAGGGAUGCGGAAUUCCAGGUGUAGCGGUGAAAUGCGUAGAUAUCUGGAGGAACACCGGUGGCGAAGGCGGCAUCCGGGACCAACACUGACGCUGAGGGAGCGAAAGCCAGGGGAGCAAACGGG